AUUGAACGCUGGCGGCAUGCCUUACACAUGCAAGUCGAACGGUAACAGGUUAAGCUGACGAGUGGCGAACGGGUGAGUAAUAUAUCGGAACGUGCCCAGUCGUGGGGGAUAACGUAGCGAAAGCUACGCUAAUACCGCAUACGAUCUACGGAUGAAAGCGGAGGAUCGCAAGACCUCGCGCGGUUGGAGCGGCCGAUAUCAGAUUAGGUUGUUGGUGAGGUAAAAGCUCACCAAGCCUGCGAUCUGUAGCUGGUCUGAGAGGACGACCAGCCACACUGGAACUGAGACACGGUCCAGACUCCUACGGGAGGCAGCAGUGGGGAAUUUUGGACAAUGGACGCAAGUCUGAUCCAGCAAUGCCGCGUGCAGGACGAAGGCCUUCGGGUUGUAAACUGCUUUUGUACGGAACGAAACGGUGAGCUCUAAUACAGUUUGCUAAUGACGGUACCGUAAGAAUAAGCACCGGCUAACUACGUGCCAGCAGCCGCCGUAA
rnacentral:rRNA from 1 species